GUGAGUAAUGCUUAGGAAUCUGCCUAUUAGUGGGGGACAACAUCUCGAAAGGGAUGCUAAUACCGCAUACGUCCUACGGGAGAAAGCAAGGGGACCUUCGGGCCUUGCGCUAAUAGAUGAGCCUAAGUCGGAUUAGCUAGUUGGUGGGGUAAAGGCCUACCAAGGCGACGAUCUGUAGCGGGUCUGAGAGGAUGAUCCGCCACACUGGGACUGAGACACGGCCCAGACUCCUACGGGAGGCAGCAGUGGGGAAUAUUGGACAAUGGGGGGAACCCUGAUCCAGCCAUGCCGCGUGUGUGAAGAAGGCCUUUUGGUUGUAAAGCACUUUAAGCGAGGAGGAGGCUACCGAGAUUAAUACUCUUGGAUAGUGGACGUUACUCGCAGAAUAAGCACCGGCUAACUCUGUGCCAGCAGCCGCGGUAAUACAGAGGGUGCAAGCGUUAAUCGGAUUUACUGGGCGUAAAGCGCGCGUAGGUGGCCAAUUAAGUCAAAUGUGAAAUCCCCGAGCUUAACUUGGGAAUUGCAUUCGAUACUGGUUGGCUAGAGUAUGGGAGAGGAUGGUAGAAUUCCAGGUGUAGCGGUGAAAUGCGUAGAGAUCUGGAGGAAUACCGAUGGCGAAGGCAGCCAUCUGGCCUAAUACUGACACUGAGGUGCGAAAGCAUGGGGAGCAAACAGGAUUAGAU
rnacentral:rRNA from 1 species